rnacentral:rRNA from 1 species
CACGUAGGGACCGAGCGUUGUCCGGAUUUAUUGGGCGUAAAGCAUCCGUAGCCUGUUCUGUAAGUUUUCGGUUAAAUCCAUAAGCUCAACUUAUGGGCUGCCGAAAAUACUGCAGAACUAGGGAGUGGGAGAGGUAGACGGUACUCGGUAGGAAGGGGUAAUAUCCUUUGAUCUAUUGAUGACCACCUGUGGCGAAGGCGGUCUACCAGAACACGUCCGACGGUGAGGGAUGAAAGCUGGGGGAGCAAACAGG